rnacentral:rRNA from 1 species
CACGUAGGGUGCGAGCGUUGUCCGGAAUUAUUGGGCGUAAAGAGCUCGUAGGCGGUCUGUCGCGUCGGAUGUGAAAAUCCAGGGCUCAACCCUGGACCUGCAUUCGAUACGGGCAGACUAGAGUUCGGCAGGGGAGACUGGAAUUCCUGGUGUAGCGGUGAAAUGCGCAGAUAUCAGGAGGAACACCGGUGGCGAAGGCGGGUCUCUGGGCCGAUACUGACGCUGAGGAGCGAAAGCGUGGGGAGCGAACAGG